rnacentral:rRNA from 1 species
UACGGAGGGUGCGAGCGUUAAUCGGAAUUACUGGGCGUAAAGGGCGCGUAGGCGGUUUUGUAAGUCGGGUGUGAAAGCCCCGGGCUUAACCUGGGAACUGCAUUCGAUACUGCAAAGCUAGAGUAUGGUAGAGGGAAGCGGAAUUCCGGGUGUAGCGGUGAAAUGCGUAGAUAUCCGGAGGAACACCAGUGGCGAAGGCGGCUUCCUGGACCAAUACUGACGCUGAGGCGCGAAAGCGUGGGGAUCAAACAGG